CUGCGACCUCCUCCAUUCUCUGCCACCCCCUAGCCUUGUCGGCCCUCUCUAAUUCCUCUCCAACCUCGUUGUCCCUCCCCAUGUUGUCCCUAGCGUCAUUGCCCCUCCCCAGCCCUCUCUCUACUGCCACCAACUACUCCCACUACAGGAAAAGUAACCUAUUGCAACGUUUCUUUUAUGGCGUUUAUGAUAAACGCCUUUAUAGAUUAGUUAGAUACAAUGUUUUCAAAACGUUGUCUCCGAUCUCAGUAAAACGGCACCGUUUGAGUCAAUUCGUUGACACCGUUCAAUACUCCGUCCCUUUCAAAACGUCUCUCAGUCUGAGUCUCAGUCCCAGUCUCACUCACUCUUCCACAACUCAGACUCUCUCUCUCUCUCGCUGGGAAACCCAUUCGAUUUGAAGCUCAGAAACCCUCACUCUCGCCGAUUUGAAGCUCAAAACCCUCACUCUCGCCGAUUUGAAACUCAGAAACCCUCACCCUCACUCGAUUUCAAACACUCUCGAUCGAUUUCAGAUCUGUCGAUUUCAGAACUUGUUGUAGAUUUUGAAGAUCUCGCUCAAUCGGUCGCUUCUUUUUGUUGCAGAACUCAGAUCUGGCAAAUGGACAUCUGGAUUGUUAGGUUGGCAUAAUUAAUUGCAAAUCAUUUUUCUUUAUUUUUCUGCAGGCAAUUAAAGAAUUAAACAUCAGAACCAAGAAUUGGAAGGAGCUUCUCACUGAUGAAACAUUCACUAGGGCAUAUCUUAUAACAAUUCAGUAUUGUAGAUGCUGCUUACGCUUCAGUACAUGGAAGGAGUGCUGCAGCUGCAAAGGCCGCAUCAAGUGAGAAAACUGCUGUUCGGAUAGCUAUGAGCAUUGCUAGUCAUAUUGACAUCUUUGGUUUACGAGAAGCAACAAAAGCUAAGAAUCAUGAUGAAAAUGCAUGGGCUUGGCGACGGCCCUUAUUGGCAACAAAAGCUAAGAAUCUAGCUGGUGAUUUUGUUAGGGUUAAUAUUCUAACUGCGAGUUGAUUUAUUUUGUUUUUUUUUUCUCUCUAUAUGGCAUUAAUUUAGUUAUGGAUCUGGGUUGCCUUAUUUCAGAACACCCCAAAUUGACUAGUGAAGUCCCUAGCCUGUUAUAUUAUUGAUUGUUACUUGUGGCCAGUACAAGUUUAGGUGCUUGUGGGUACCAAUUGGUAAUUGAUUUUUUCUUUUGAAUAUGCAAGUAAAAAUAGAGAUGCUCUUUUGGUGGACAGGUUCUUUCAAUUCUAAUUUUAUUUAUUUUUAUUGUUUGUUCAUUUUUGGUUUUGGAACUCUGGGUUGAUGGUGUUUUACUACCUCAGGUGAAAAAUUUUGGGGUUUAAUUUAGAAGCACCCACAUCUUUGAUCACAAGAUCUCUCAUCUCUUUCGCUCGAGGAAUUUUUUAAAUAUAUUUAGAAGGAUCUAAAUAUUUAAUCAUAAGAUCUCUCUUCUCUCUCACUCUCUAGGCAUGUAUGCCCCCACGUGUGCACAAGCACAACCACACACAUGUAUUGUACGGAUUAUGAUGGCCCCUCUUGGGUGCUCCUCUUACCACUGCAUGGCCAUAGAGGGGCUGCAUUCUUCCUGCUCCUCACAUUUGCUUGCUUAAGACUUUGGCUAGGUUUUAGAUUCAGGUGCCCACUGUUUCUGUUCAUUAUUGGGUAGGGUGGGGUCUUGCUGUCUUUUUUGUGGUUGUGGGGGUUGCCCAACCACUUACCUUUAAUGAAGGUUGUUGAUAAUUUGCUAGAAUGAUUGACAACUGUGACAUGUUGCUCCACUUUUUUCAUGGUUGUUGGUGCAGAGGACAUGCACCAUUCAAAAUCAUUUUGAUGAUGGUGUGGAAUGUUAACCACCAAUUUAACAUGAUGAAUGUACUGGUAGACAUGUUUUAUGCACAUGGGACCAUUUGACUUCCUCUUUCCAAACAGUUUUGAGAAUAAUGAUAUGUAUCUUGAAAUGAGAGUGGGAGUAGGGGGUGGUUGCAUCUACCCUAGUUGCAACCCACAGUUUUCUGUCAUUUCAGAAACUUCGGGGAAGGUUGUUACAAAUUUACUGCCUCAGAAGAUACUUGGAAUUUCCUUCAAAAAAUAAUUUAUUAAAUAAAUAAUUUCUAUGUUUCAGCCUUCCGCAUAAAGUAGCAGCAGGGUUUCAUGAGCCUUAGUAAUUGGCUGAAUUGAAUUAACUGAAGACUGGAAAUAAUUUGAAGUAUGAAUGUUGCUUGCAUUGUCUAAGAUUUAACUGUUGAGAUAAAAAUAUUCUGCAACUAGAUUAGCUUGUGAAAUGAGGCCAAUUUUCCCAAACAGUUUUGUUUGAGAUUCUUUUUUAGUUUCCUGGAAAGAGCAUUGAUAAAGAAGUAGAGAAAUAACGGUUCAAAUCAUCCAUAGGCUAAUGCAACUGUAUAACUUCAUAUCAGCAUUGCUUGUUGCUUCCAUCGGCUCUGCAACCAUGUAUAUAUCAUUUUUUAACCAUAACGAAGUUCCCUGCUCUGCUUCAUUACUUGGAUUAGCAAGUAUAUCAUAAAAUAUUUGUGUUGAGGAAUUUUUUUCCCCUUGUGCUUGGAGUUUAUGAUAAUUAGUUAAGAUGAUGCUGAAUUGCUGGAGUUUAUGCAGGCCAAGUAUGUGGUUUCAUCAUGUUAGACAAAGUCCAGACAGCAGAGGACGCACUAUCGCAGUGAACUAUUGGUAUGAUAUGCAGUUCGAUGUAAAAUAUACUUACUUCAACUUCUUACAAUCAAUUCCUCACCCAUCAUCCCAUGGUCUGACACUGCAUGAAAUGGGAUUUGUUGGAUCAUCCUCAGAUACAUCUAUUUGCUAUUUAGGAGAUGAACCAGAUAUCAAUGCUAUCGAGAGGGUGAAUGUGGCUGAAAACAGAGAUGACAGUGACGAAGAAUGAAUAAUGAUGUGUUAAUGAGGGUGGUUUGAUCUUUGGGGAGCUCUUUGGUGAGAAGAUGCAGAGUGUAGAACAGAGAAAAAGCCGGAACAUCUUCUAUGUUUGCAUCAUUGAACUUUUGAACAGGUUUUGGGUGACAGAACUAUCUCUUAGUAUUCUCAGUAAGUUGGGUCUCUUCAAAUAUUUUUUUGUAGAGUUCUUAUUGUUAGUGGGAGAGACUGCUGCUAAAGUAAGUUCAAUGAACGAGGCUCCCGCUAAAGAAUGGUUUGAGAAGAGCAAGAUGUUUUGAUGUUCUUUGAAGUACCAAAAGUGACAGCUAUGUUUUGAUUGGAAAUUGGUGGUUUUAUUUUCAAUUUGUGACUUCUAUUUUUGUUUAUUUAUUUUUCUUAAAUGAAGAACCAAACAGAAGAAAAAGAGGGAAUAAUAACAAUACCCGUAGAUUGCUUGGUCUUAGUAAUCACAUAACUCUGUAAUAUCAAUUUUCAACAAAAUUUAUGAUCAAUGAUUGAAUCACAAUGACCAUCA